ACACGUUGCUGGUGAAAGAGAUGGGAAGGAUGCGUUGAAAAUAAGAUGACUAAAGGGAGUGCGUAGGUUGGUAGAGGAGACUGAGGCGAUACCUCAUGGCGGCUACAGCUUCCUGACAAGGGGAGGAGGAGGGGCAGGAGUUCAUCUGUUCUCUUCAGAGAAUCACAGAAUGUCAGGGAUUGGAAGAGACCUCGAAAGAUCACCUAGUCCAAUCCCCCUGCCGGAGCAGGGACACCCAGAUGAGGCUACACAGGAAUGUGUUGAGGUGGGUUUUGAAUGUCUCCAGAGAAGGAGAUUCCACAACCCCCCUGGGCAGCCUGUUCCAGUGUUCUGUCACCCUCACUGAAAUUUCUUCUCAGAUUUAAAUGGAACCUCCUGUGUUCCAGUUUGUACCCAUUGCCCCUUGUCCUACCAUUGGUUGUCACCAAGAAGAGCCUGGCUCCAUCCUCAUGACACUCACCCUUUACAUAUUUAUGAACAUUAAUGAGGUCACCCCUCAGUCUCCUCCAAGCUAAAGAGACCCAGCUCCCUCAGCCUUUCCUCAUAAGGGAGAUGCUCCACUCCCUUAAUCAUCUUUGUUGCCCUGCACUGGACUGUCUCCAGCAGUUCCCUGUCCUUCUUGAACUGAGGGGCCCAGAACUGGACACAGUAUUCCAGAUGUGAUCUUAUUUUAGUGACCAGUGACAGGACCCAAGGGAAUGGCAGAAAGAUGAGCCACGGAGGUUUAGGUUGGACAUUAGGAAAAGAUUCUUCGCCCAGAGGGUGGUGGAGCACUGGAACAGGCUCCCCAGGGAGGUGUCACAGCCCCAAGCCUGACAGUGUUCAAGAAGAGACUGGACAACACCCUCAUACACAUGGUCUGAACUGUGAGGUUGUCAUCUGCAGGGAAAGGAGUUGGACUCAAAGAUCCUUGUGGGUCCCUUCCAUCUCAGGACAUUCUAUGAUUCUGUGAAUGUCCCGAUGUAGAAGAUUCUGUCUUCAGGUUUUACAUGAGAGCUAAAGAAAUGCCUCUCAUGGAUUCUGCUGCAGCUACCACUAAUGAAAGCUACAGAUGCCAUUCAGAGAGUCAAGUUCCCAUUUUGGUGCAGUGUAAAGCAUCUGUUCUGAAUUCAGCACAUGUAUCCUGUCUCACUGAUGCUAAAGGAAAUUAUGUAUGUGGAAUUAAUAGAGGGCAUACCUGAACUAAGCAAGCCAAUUUAUAGUCUCAGUUACACUACUGUAAAGGUAAGGUAGUUAAUUAACUUCUUGUGUGCUAAAUUUAUACAAUUGAUAACACUAAAUUGGUCUAAUUCAACGAUAUAUAUAUGUAUAUAUAUAUAUAGAGAGAGGUAUUUACAUUUCUGUUUCUACCAUGGUUGAUUUGAGGCUUGGGAAGCCACCUUAUGAGUUUACAGAGCAAUCACUAUUAAUCCACAACGUGGUGCUGUUGGCAUAUUCUGGAUGUACUGCUGCCGAAUACAGAUGUUUCUUUAGUCUGUUUGAUUUAGCUAAACUUUUGUCCAGGUGGCAUUGUUAACUAAGGACAGAAUUUAAACAGAAUACUUCACAUUUCUUUUUCCAGGCACUCAGCCUCCCUGAACAAUAAGGGUCCUGUUCUAAUUGCAAUUUCAUGUAUCUGGAUUAGUUUUCAAGUUUUUCAACUGUGCUCAUGUCAUGUUAUUGUUAUUUAUAAGUGAAUGUUAGUGUUCUUUGACUGGGUGCAGGACUGCAGAAGGCUGGCUGUCCAGGACUUCGUCCCUCAGCAUAUGAAGUAGUGUGACCUCAGGGUUUUAGAUGACAGCUGUGGACUACACCAUCUAAAAGGGCUUCCUUCAGUGUGAAGCUCUGUGUACAGGGCAGCCUAAUGCAGGAGCCAGGAUAACACAUCUUACAAGCAAGUGGUGUGUGAUAGUUACCGGUGUCCUCUACUUUAUGAUUGAGAAGAAACAACACAUUUGAUAGUGGAUCUAACUUCUCUACAUUAUGCCAACACAUGCUUUUGUCUACAUUAUACCAUGACAGUUCAGCUCUCUGACAAGAAGAUAAUGUCCGGUUCCUAUGCCCAUAAACUGCUGGCAUUUCUGAGGCAAUUGCCAGUGACUCCUAUCUAUACCAUUUUGUACCACCCUAAAUAAGUUACUCUCAUUCCUUUAGAAUUUACUACUGUCUUAGUUAUUGGGGAGAAUUAGGCUACUUUUACUUGAAUCAUUGAUUCACCAGCUACAGGUCACAAGAAGCAAGUUCCUUCCAGCUUCUCAAGUAAAUCAGCCCUUGCAGGCCUUUCUGCCCUUUCUUGAAUUCUCUGUCUACUUUGACUCCUUGACUCUCAUAAAAAAAAAAGGGACUGCUGCUUCACAAAAUGAUAGGUCUUUGAUUUUGUUGAGCCUCACUGGUGAAUCUAGCUUGAACAUCCCCAAAUUACAAAAUAACAAAGAAAGUCCAGUCUUUUUGUCUUGGUUAUAAGGCAGGAUUUCAGGCAGUUUGGGUAUGAGAUCUCAAUUGAUGUGUCUAGACCUGGUUUCUAACCAGUGCUCACCUAGCUAGUUUAAAAUAAUUACUAGAUAUUUGUGUAAAUGUACUCUGGAGGACACAUAAUACAUUAUAUCAAGGAAAUUAAUUGCAAUUCUGCAAUGGAUAAAAGUUUUCUAGUGGCUUUCAAAUUUUUACUAAGUGAAACAAGAUGGCCACAUUUGCUGAGAAGAGAGAUGGUUAAUCCUUGUUUGAGAAAUCAAGUGCAAAUUCUGCACAAGGAAUCUAUGUUGCUUUAUAGGAGAGAUCCCUCAUUUUAGAUCUGUGUGAAAGAGUAUUAUGUAUUAAAGCUGCAGACAGUAUAUUGCAAAACAUUGAUGAAAACAGGGCACAUUGCCAGUGGACCACUUGAUUAAUGUGCACAAUGAGCCUGGUGAUCUCUUAUCUUUGCAUUCAACAUAUAUAAGGCUUAAUUUGUAAAGGCCAACUAUCAUUAUUUCUGUGCUUAAACUUACUUUAAUGUAUAUAUUCUGGUAUCCAAUUGUUGACGGUUUUACCUAUACAUUUUAAAGUGUGUGUCACAAUUUUCAUUGAAACAUACAUUACACAAACUUUUUCAGUGGCAAGUUGUAACAAAGCUUUUUUUUGAACAGUAGUUUCUUCAGCUACAUUAUACUGCCAAGAUGCCUGCCGCUGUUCUAUGAGACACUGUUUUCACUUGCCAAAAACUUAACAUCUUUCAGAGGCGAAAUUUUCCAUGUUACAUAUCUGCUUUGGGCUGAUACAUAUCUAAAGUUCAAGCUCAAACAGUGCUGUCAUUUCUCGGAAUAUGUUCAGGAUGAUAAACAAAUCCUUUUUUAUUGUUAAGAAGAGCUGCGUGCUCUGUAGAAAGGUUUUUGAUGUGGCACAGAGACUGCUUUUUCCAGCUGAAGGUUUUUCUAGCCUGCAUGACUGUACCUCCAUCUGGCCAGGUUAGAACAUUUGAAAAAGCUUGAUUUAUAUGUGCUCAUUAAAAGCUUUUUCAGAACACAAAGCUAUUUUUAGCCAAGAGAUCUCAGUUGCAGUGAGGGUGCUGCAUCCUCUCUCACUCCAGCUGCCCUGUACGCUGCUGUCAGGCCCAGAGAAUGGCAGAGAAUACUUAGUUCCAGGAUGAGCAUCUUCCAGUACUUGUGCCCACUGUGUAUGUGGAGGGCCUUUUCCAGAUAAGAUACUAAAAGAGGUGGUAGACUGGGACAGGAUAGUUGUCACUGCUACUGGAAAAAGGGAGAGCAUCAGGGCAAAGCAGCAUAAAGAGCUUGUUAAAGGACCAUUCCCCAGGUAGAAAAUGUCUCCUGCCAGAACCUGGAGUUGAAUGUAGGAUUUCCAAUCAGUGUCUUCCUCCAUGGCCAGAAAAGAGCUGUCAAAUCCACUGGCAAAAUAUGUUUCAUAUUUUCCUUCACUGGCUUACCCGGUUUAACAAUUCACAAGCAUCAGCAAGUGCUCUUUUAGCCCAAACUGAGAAUCUGUAUGGCCUGGAAUUUCUAUUUUUGCAGUAAAAGAGCAAAGUUAAUAACAUUAAAAGAAAUUUGACACUCCAAAGUGAAGCACUCCAGAUUUGUGAUGUGCAGGCAUUCCUUCCCUUACCUUAUUUCCUAUGAAACCUCCAGAUUGAGCAACAGAUAAUUCAGGGAUUCUGGAAACAGCAGCCUUAUUUACUUCAGAGCUUUCCUACACUCCCACACUGACUGUCUUCCACCCAGAAUUUUGCAGAGGCUGUUUGGAAAAAUAGGAUGUACUCAUGUACUUAAAGCCAGCAGGAUAGCAUAUGCAUGAAGGGGCCACGUUUCAAUGACCUUAUAUUCUUAGCUCCUAACUGAAGUUUUUAGACUGCAGUGUGUUUGAUUUUGCUCAGUUUAAUACAGAUUUGGAGAGGGAGAAGAGGUUCUAAGAUCAACUGAAGAAAACCAAAAGACUGAUGCAGGAUAAAUCUUACCUUGUUUAAAGAGGAAGUAAACCAGGUAUCAGAGUUUUCUUAGCUACGGCAAUGAACUGAAAGGUAAGCUGCAGUUUUACAGAAAGGUAAGGACCUAAUAGUUUGUAAGUACUUAAGUUCAAAAAAUGGCCAGUGCAAAAAAAGUGUGCAUCUGUUUCAGUUCAAGUGACAACAAGCAUUUCGUACUGGCCAGCUCCUGGAGGUUUGAGGCUACAGUCUUUACAGGCACAACUCUAUUGACUCCCCUGAAUAAGCCAAAUGCACUCCAACUGUUUUUACUUUCUUUCGUUUCAAAAUAGAAUUUGGCCUGGCUGCAUCUCUGAUCCUGUGGGGCUUUGACGCAAACUGGUGUAAAGCCAAAAGAUUGCAGGUGUGGAGUGUUGUACAUAGCUCUGCAGGGUUAAACAAUGACAGCAGUUCUCUGCAAGCUGUUGUUACAUUUCUCUAUUUUAUGGCCAUCUCUUGUAUUGGGUAAAUAUAUCUGUGACUCUGUUCCAGGUAUCCUUUUAACAAAGACAUAAAGAAACGGAACUAUAUUCUGGCCUUUAAAACAUUCUCACUUUCCCAAUCCUGAACACCAGCCAAAAUCAAUGAGAAUCUUUGGAAACACUUAGUCUAUUCAGCAAUUAAGCUUUGUUAUUAGUGAAUAGCUGAAUUUACAUGCCCACCAGUAUUCUUUUUAACACUACUUGCCUGAAUUAGAAAGAGUCUGAAGUUCUGCAAUGUGAAACUCAUUGUUUAGUGUCCCCCUUCUGAAGAUAUGGGCCCCAUAACCUCUUCUUCCUUGUAUGUCUUUUCUGUCUGUCUUAGGUUCCUCUGAGGUGCUGUUAACUCUGCAUAUUAGCCAGGUGACGUUGGUUUGAAAACAGGCCUUUUGGGAAAGGUCCUCUUUUUGCAUAGGAUGGGACAGAGAGUAGGGAAGUGGCUGGAGAUCAGUCUAUUUUGUUUCAUUGUUUACUACAAAUUGUUAAUUCUUUUCCUGGGUGACCUUGUGUAAAUAUUUACAUUGCUUUGGAAAUUUAGUGAGCUUUUGUGACGAUAAAGGGCAAUACUCCACACAUUCUGCUUUGGUGUUUUCAAAAGAAUGUGACUGGUUAUGUAUCAGGCCAGAUUCACCUGUGAGACUGUCUCAGGGUAUGUGUUGCGUUUCUCCGUGGUAGAAUGGACCUUCCCUAGUCUGGAUUUGUGUGAUACUGUUGUAAAGGCAGACAGUGUCACUGUCCGACACCCUUUCUCAGGUGUCUUCUGGAAUGGAGGAAGUAACCUUGGAGGUGCACUGGGCAAACAGUGACGUACUGUGAUUCAGAUCACUUAUAAUACUUGAAGCCAGAGGCUGUUUAUUUUGGUGAAGACAGAAAUGGCUCUGAAAAUGUCUAAAGAAGAACUGAGACAGAAUUUCUUUUCUUAGGAAUGCAUGAAGAUGUGCAGUUGUCUUCAGAGGGUGGUAGGCUUUCUGAGAAAGAGUGAUAUUUCAGGAUUAUGUUUGUCUUGGCUGGCUGGGGUAAGGAAAAAGCUUGAGGCCUGAAAGAGGAAAAGGAACGAGCAUUCAAGAGGAGCUCAGCUGAAUUACGUGGUGUGGCAAGAGGAUAAAGGAGGUCAUGUAGAGGAGAUGCAAUCAGGAACAGAUUUUUUGUGUGUGUGACAAAUUAAUACACUCUCACACUCACUGGGAUCCUACCUUCUCCAUUCAAGGUGCCAGGACUUGUGUGGGGGCUUUUUCAGUGCUGUCAGUUGCUAUACUUCAUUAAUGACCCUUAAGGGGCUAACAUUAACACCUGUUUGUACUUAUUUCCUGUCACUGUUUACUCUCCCAGAUGGCACAAACACAAUAUGCCCAGUGUAUUAGGCAUUUGUGAGUAAUGCACUCUUUGCCAGCCAAAUGCCAUUCAUGUUAAAUGUGGCAGCUAUUUCAUAGCCUGAAGAAUCAGUUGUCUAAGUCAAAAGCAGAAACUGCAGAGAAAUCUUAGAUUCUCAAAAAAAAAGAAAUAGCCCAAUUGUUUGUCUUUUAUGUAAUAGUUUGUUUUCUUGUACCAAAAGUGUAGAACUGAGGAGAAGAAUCAACUUAAAAUCUAAAUGAGUGCCUGAGAUUGAGAUGGGUGGCUCUGUUGCAGUUGGAUGGGUUGUAUAUGUGAUCCUGAAGCUGUUAUUUCAUGACCAGAGGAUGUGUGACUUUGUUCUGAUGACUGAAAGCCACAGAUAUUGGAAGAUGUUGCUGCAGAGAAUAAUGUGUUAAUAGUCUCCAGCUUUUGAAUUAAGUCUCGCCUUGGGAAGAUACUUAAACAAGUAACCAGAAGGCUGAUAAACAGUGUUUCUGGAGUGCUCUGAGAAGUGAACCAAUACUGGCCAAAAUGUGUCAUGUAUGUGUCAUGCAUGACUUCAAUUUCCAGUUCUCCCAGAGCAGGGAACAUGUGUUUUGUUUUUUUUUUUUUCCUAGGACUGUAGUGUACCAUGUCCAUUUCCAGUUCUAGGGAAGUGUUUUACAUUGAUAGUAGUAAGAAAAACACCAUGUUAAUGCCAACUAUCUUGGCUUUAUCAGAUAAAAAAAAAUAUUGACAUAUGCAUUUGGGAAUUUCCAGCCCAGCAGCCAAAGUUUGAAAGAUGAGUAAGUGAAUACCUCUGCUAACCCAUAGCACAGUUGUUCAUGAAAAUCAUUACUGUAUAAAUUGCUACAUUCUGCACAGGAAAGGUCAAACAGUGUGCUCAUGCCAGCAGUGGGCCUAUAGACGCAUUCUUACGGGUCAGAUUGUGUUAUUUAGAGGAUGAAUCCCUGACAGCCAUGCCUUGAUGACAGAGAUGAUGCUACAACAUUUAUCUCUUGAUUCCACACAGGAAAAUAAACAAAGCUUAUUAUUUUACUAGACCAAGCAAAGCAAAGACCUCAUGGAGUUGUGAAUGCAAUCAGUUAUUGUCGAGGUCCUUAAUGUGGCAUAUGUCUCUCUGUUGCACUUGUGUAUAAAUGUUAAAUUCAAUUAAGAAUGUGAGCCAGUUUUUAGCUGAAUAAACAGGACCAUUUAAGAUACAGAUCUUGAGUACUGUUUCUUUAUUCAUAAGAUCUUACACAUCUGAGUGAACACGAUCUUAUUCACUCAUUAGCCCCUCCCAGGAUGAUGGAUAAUUUGACAACAAUCCUAUUGAACCUGGACACUCUGUUCUUGUAAGUAAAAAGUUUCUGAGAAAGGAGAUAAAGAGUAAGGAAAAAGCUGCAGCUGGAGAAAAGCCACUGAAUAGUGGACAACUGGAGGAUCAAUGAGAUUUCAUCUUUCCCCAGGCUAUCACAGCAGAGAGGGUUUUUAAUACAAGGACUCAAUGUCACAAACAGGUGGUACAUCCAUUUUAUGUUCCCGUGCUGCACCAACAUCAUCCCCAACAUACAGACUCAUGCAUUGCAACACUAUAGUGGCCAUGGGCAAACUGGCCUCCUGGAAACCAAGCAAUUGAAGAAGAUGCUUAAGAAGAUGAAAGGAGUUAGAAACACAGAGAGACACAGAAAGACUCAGGGUGUCUGGCUUCAAUGUGUGCUUCUACAACCACCACUGAAUACUAUCGCACAACUGAAUGGGCAGCAAAGAGCAGGAAGGAGAUAGAAACACACAUACGACAUGCUUUGGAUUUUGGAAAUGUCAAGCAGCUGACUGAAGAUUUGGCUUUUUGAAUCCAGACAUCCAAUAAACACUGGUUUAUCUUGGAAGUAUCCUCCUGCUUCAGUUUAACUCCUUACUGAUUACUGAGGUUUAACUUCCAAUAUCAGAAGAGGCUGGUGUUUCUCACAGAGAGCAAGACUGUUUUUUUGAGGCCUGGGCUCAGAUUAAAAAGAGUCAGAGUGGCUCCUUCUGUAUGAGAAACGUAAGAUUUUUAACAUUGCUUGAGGAGGCUGUGUAGCCCAGAGUAAGCCUCCUUCAGCACAAGUGCUUCACAACAACUAGUAGAACAUAUUUAAAGCUCUGAAAGCCUUGCUCACUGUGGGACUUAAAGACUGGAAUCCUCCAGCAGUGGCUGGGCCACCAAUUUUCUCAACAGCUCAAGAAUAUUUUCUCCUGUACUGGCAGCCCUGUGAACUCAAGCAGAGUGCUGGAGAGCCUGUUGUGUUCUUUCUGCCCCCUUUAUCAAUAUCAGUCAUAAAAACUAAGUAAUUGGGAUUUAGAUGGCAAUUUAAGUGCUGAUAAAUAUUGAGAAAGAGUGAAACCUGUUUGGCUCUUUUCACAGCUGUGACGAGAUGGCUGUGAUGACAGGAUUAAGCAAGUAUGUGCAUGUGUGCAUAUUUACAAAACAGUGGGGUGAAGAUGCUACUUAAAAAAUUCAAGCAGAAGUAAAUGCAUUUAUGAGAGUUAUUUCUCUCUUUUCAACUUGGAUUAGCAUUUAGAAGUACUUGCACAAGUCACUUUUACAGGUCUGCUUGAUCUACCUAUUCUCUAGCUCAAAUCUUUUACCUGACUUUGAAAAAAGUAAACCAAAUCUCACUGAUGAACAGAGCCUGAGGAGGAAAAGAUGGUACCAUGUUUGAUAUUCAUUCUUUUGAGGAAUAUCCGGGGAGAUCUAUGGAGACUGUGUAGGAUUCAAAAUUUUCCUCUACAAGUUGACUAACAAAUACUAGAUGAGACAUCCUUGUGUCAUUAGUGGAGAGCAUACUCUGGCUUUCAGACAUGCCAUUGCCACUGUCUGCUCAGGGCAGUCUGCGUGGCAGUCGCUAGUAUUAGGAAGAGAACUGAGAGCACUGUCUGUAGUCUUGGGCAGAUGGAGCACCCUAAAAGAUGCUUUACUUUAGUCCAGGCACUAUUUAGCCUGGACAUUGGUUUGAAAACUCAGUGCAAGAAACAACUUUCAUUAUGGAACUAGGAUUUUCCAGAUGUAAAAGUCCAUUUGCACAAAUUUGAAUCCUUUUUAUUUUUAAUCACUGCUACUCCCUGCUUUCUCAUUCCAUAUAACACACAUUUUUCAUUACCAGCAAAUGGAAUCACUCUGAAUAUACUGUUAUUUCUAGUUUAAUUAUGUCUCUGUACUUUGAUUGAUGUGGAUAAUAUGUUCAGCAUGAUCCUGUGCCACAGAUUAUCGUCAAAACAGAUAAGACUCUGGAGAGUCUUUGGCUUGGCUAUAACACCAGACAUUUUUUUCUCAAAAGUAUUAAGAAGAUUCAUGAAGUCCAAGGCUAGAAGAGAGAGAGAAGUUCCUGAAUUCUCUGUGAAAGGAGACCAUUAAAAUGUCCGGAGCAGGUCUCUCUAUUACUGAUGAAUAUGGACAGGAAUUGCCAUUCUGUCUGACUCCAAAAGAACUUGCAUUACUGUUCCUGAGCUACAGGCUGUCUUUACAGCCUAUUCGCACUUUUGUGUCCAUGUACACCUGCCAUUACCAAAUUGCAGUGCCUCAAGAACAGCCUAGACAGACUCGAUUAACUGUGUCUAUGCUAUGAAAUUCAGGCAUGCCUGCAAUUUUCCCAGCCACCGGGAGGUUACUUGUGGUCAGAGAAUGUUAGAGCCUUCCUUGCCAUAGAUUUGGCCCGCUGCAACUAAUGUUCUCCCUGGACACAGCCUGGCAGCUCAAAAGACCCAGGGACCAUUUCCAAGAGACUCUUUGUAUGCUCUUGACUAUUGCAGAAGUGGUCUGUUUGAUUCCCAUUCUAUGCCUGGGAAUGCCACUCGGCAUGUGUAAUUAGCCAAGAGUCAGGCUCAAUGCAACUAACUGCCCCAGUGUACUGUACUAGCAGUGCUGGCCAUGGUGUCUGAAAGUUGAGGACCUUUUCUCCACUUUGUCUCAUACCUGUAUGUGAAGAAGUAACAGCCUCGUGACUGCUGUUAUUUGCAAUCAUGGUGGAUAACUUUAUCUCCCAUGAUAGGUCUUUGAUACUCCUUUUUGCCUUGUUCAAAUGUGCAAACCACGGGAAGACUCCCAAGGAAGACAAGAGUUGAUUUUGCCUAAGCGGGCAGCAUUGUCCUGUUGCUUGGCACAUUCAGGUGCAGACUCCACACUGUACUUGUGCAUUUGGAGUUAAACCAACCUACCUGUUCUGACAUUGUGAUACAGAAGCAAGAAAAGACAACCACCAUCAUUACACAGAAUAUCAACUAUUGCUGGCCUGUAGGAUCAGCUGAACAUCCAGCAUUGAUUUGAUUUCCGAAGGACUGAACACCCAGUAUAUCCUUUUAUGUUAAUACCUACCGGUGGAUUCUCAGCUCUUUUGAAAAUCAGGAUAUAUAUUUGGGUCCUCAGACAUGGUCUAUAUGUGUCAAUUUUUGAAAGUCUUGGCUUUACUAGGUGUGAUUUGUUUAAAAUAAAUCCCUUUUCUUCCUCAAGAUGCUUCCUAGAGCUCUGGGGUAACACUGCUUCAUUUUCUUCUCUCCCCCUGGAAUUUAUCUGGGAUUAUAGUCUAGAGGAGGUCUGUAAUAGGACUGCUUAUGCCAAUGAGCUGAUUAAUAAAAGGCUGAUAGAGUGCUUACUUACAAAGAUCUGUUGCUCAUAGUAGGUUGACAAUCUUAAUAGGUGUGAUGGUAUACUGAGAGUCUUUGUGGUAGAGACAACUACCUUCUUUACCCAUUGAUUCCUUCCCUGAAAUCUUCAAGGCUUCAUACUGCUUUACUUGACCUCUUGUUAGUGAGAGUGAUACCUUUCAAGUUCUUCAUGCUCUUGUUGGUGAAACCUUUUCAGGUGUUAUUGAACUGGUUAUUGGGAUGGACAAGGAGAUAGGCACUGACAUGUUGCGUGCACUCCGUUUUAGCUCAUUCUGUCAAGUCUUAGUGCAUGGAAUUAACCAGUGUCCCCAUCACUGUGUUUUCUGUCCAAAACUUUGUCACCUACACAAGAUUCUUCACAAAUUAAUCUCAGAUAUUUUAGAGAUGACUGAGAUUGGAAAAAAUAUUAAUCAAUAAUGCCUUAUAAAGGAAAUAAUCACCUUAACUACAGAAGAACUAGUGCCUCCUUAUACCAAGUUUUUCAGUGCCAAGACUCCAUGAACAUUUCAAAUAAAAGAGAAGCAGAGCUUUUUCACAGAGACAUAUUCUAUGAUCCAAAACCCAGUUUAAAUAAUGAGACCAUUUAAAAUGAAUUUGUAUUCAUUGAAAUUAAUUUCUUCCCCAGGGAGAACGGCCGAUGAGCUAAAGCAAGUUUUAUUGUCUGUGUGUAGAAAUCAAGGUAGUAAAGUCCAACCUGCUUUGCAGGAAUAUUGAUGGCAUAUAACUCUGUUGUGCCCUUAGCUGUUGCUUUGUGUAUUUUUUUCUGUUAUUUUGUGAGUAAAGCUUUUCAGCUGGUAUGUUGUUUUUCUCCUUCCUCCCUUGAAAAAUAAUCUUAGAGAUAUGGAAACUGUGGUACGAAUUUUGCUAAAGUUUUGCACAACUGAAUUGAAUAGUUUUUACUAUGGUUUUGGUCUUUGUUCUGCCUUCUUUUCUGUUAAAACGCAAUGUUAAACAGCUGUUUGAUUUGCAAGAGUGGUGCUUCUACUUUGCCUCAAGACACUUAACCUGUGUUAGAGAAGGAAGGCAUUUUUUCAUGAAAUCUGUAGGAACAGACCUGUACCAUUUUUUGAUGUAGGACAAUUUAUAGAAGUUGUGGCUUUGCUGUAGUGAGAGGGGUUUGUUAUUAUGAUGUCUGGUUCCAUGGUUUGGUUUUGGGUAAUCCAGCAUUCUGUGCUCAUUAUUUUUUAUAGUGGGGCUGGUGCGUUUUUGAGGCAUUUCUUAAUACAAUGCUUUGGAUGUUUUGUGUUGACUGAAAUUUCUCAUUCCACCCCCGUAUUCUAAUUUCCUCAUCCACUGAGAUUUUUGCUCUGAUAGCACUGGGAUUUUUUUUCCCUCUCCUUGUUUAGGUUUCUCUGUCUUUCUUCAAAAUUCUAGCUUCCCUGUUUCAUUCCCUCUGCAUGCUGCUCUGUGUUUUUUGUUGGUUUUAUUUACUUGUGAAUUCUCUAGAAAAUGUUUAAGCUGUUAGCUGUCUCUUGUCUAUUUUGCAGAUAGGCUGUAGUGACUCUGAAAGUUAUUUUGGAGCUAAUACAUGCCCUGCAAACCCAGCCAUUUUAAGCAUGCUCAUUUCGUUUUAGAUGGGGAAUCUGUCACUGGGUAAUUGUAUUCUUCAGUUUACUUUAUGUUUGCAUUCACAAGCUCACAAUUUUUGUUUAAAGUUCAGUGAUCCAUCCUGCAAAACAUACUAGAAGCAUUUAAUCUCUUAUCACAAAAGCUAUGUGUAAUUAUUUCAUUUUUUAAAAUUGAAAGUUCUUACUUUUUUGUGUGUUGUGGUACAGAGUAAGUAAAAUGACAUACAAGUGACACAUGGCUCAUAGGACAAAGUCUUCUUUUGUGUUCCUCUGGGACUGAUAAUCUGUCAUGGGUAAUAUUUAGUUUCCUCUUUGCAAAGAUGUGUGUGAUUACACUGUCUGAAAUGCAGACUCGGGAGUACUGUGUUUCUGAUGAAGGAUAUUUUGGACCAAAUUUGACCUGUUUGGACCAUUUAAUGGUGAUGGGGGUGUGUUAAUUGGCAAAAUACAUACAGUGUGUUCUGUGAAAGGUAUUUGCUUUCCACAUGACAUACUUAUCAGAUUAAAUAAAUGCCAGGGAAGGGAAUCUUUGAGAUCUGUAGGAUUAGAAGAAGAUUGGACAUCGACUUCAAAGAGAACUAAGUGCUUUUGAACACCUUGCCUUUGACACUAUUUUUGAAAAUGUUUUCUUAGCUGAACAAUGGUCAAUAUGCCACAAAUCUCUCACAGCAUAGAUUGACCCAAAUUAUCAGCUUUUGUGAGAGGAGGUUCACAGCUUUCAUUUUGCUUUAUCAGCAGAGAAGCUAGGUUCCAUUUUCUGAACUAAGGGUAUCAGGAUUUGGAAAUACUUGUGAAAUGUGUGUCAUUUUCCAGAAGAUGUUUUAGAAAGCUACAUGGGAGACUAUAAUAAGCUAUUAAGAAAAUGGUUAUUCAGAGAUAUCUAUUUGUUGUGGCUUAACCAAGAACUAUUUAAGACACCACAGCUCCAACGAGUAGGUUUUUUGCAAACUUUUGUAGUGCUUAGUGGCUGAUGGCUCUGCUUGGCUUGUGUUUUACCUCACUUUUAACCUCUGCACAGCAUUGGCAAAGGGAAUGAUUAUUCUGCAUUUAUCAUUCCCUGACAGUGAAAAGGCAUCCUGAGCAUUUGGAGAUGACACAGUAAAUGCUUGAUUCUCACAGCAAAGCUCUCAAGGACAUUAGACUGGCCAUGGCCAUGCAGACCAGUCAACUCCUAUACUUUAGAGCAGUGUCUUGAUAUGGACUUAAUACCUACAGCACUCAAGAUGAUUGUCAUUGUGCUGUGACUGUCAGCAUCUGCUCUGUGGUCACUACCCAAGCCCUGUCUCCAGAUAGAAAGUUCCUCCUAUUCUGACCAUUUUACCUAGUAUCAGAGGUACAUCAUUAGAGCUUCCUUCUGUUCUCAUUGUCUCACAGAAACUGUCCAUGUGACAAUGAAAUACUGCCUUCUGAAGCACAAGGAAUGCUCUGGAUGAGUAGAAAAAUCUUGCUUUUCCUGCAUGUGAGGCCUGAGAAGCACCUAGCGCUGAAACCGUGCUCCAGAAUGGGGAUUAGCACUCAGUUGAUUCGCUGCAGGCUGCACAGUACUUUAUUGGUGUGAUUUGGUGUCAGCAAGGGACUUCAUUCCUGACACAGCAACCCCAUGUGUGCAAAGGCCACAGCAGCCUCAUGUUUUUUCAGCAAAGCCACUGGAGAACCCUGGUGAGGGGAGCUUUACUGGGCACAGAGCCAGCUCCUGGUGUGGCAGGGAGGAGAAGAAGCUGUGCCCCAGAAGAUGCAACCGUUCAUCUGCUCAGCUCUCUCUGUUCCCUGAGGUAUCACGCCUAACACUUCCCUCUCUCAUACCUUAUUUGCAGGUUACACCAUUACUCUCUCAAAGGCUAGAGUCAGCAGACUUGAUUUUCAUGUUAUGUUUACAUACUCUUCUUAUCACCUUGGGUAUUAAUUUUCUUCCUUAUCUUGGAUGUGCUUGGUACAUGAAGGUGUCUGACCUCCCUUCUGCUUCCCUCCUCCUGCCUUCCUUUGUGGUAGCUGCAGCUGUAACUUCUACAUUCUUCUUUCAAUAAGAGGCUCUUCUCAUUUAAUUUCUUGGGGUUUUUUAGUCCUGUUGUAGUUUGCACAGGUUUCUGCUUGCCUGGAAAUCUGUUCCUAAAAUCUCAGUUGUCCCUAUAUGUAGUCUGAGUCUUGGCCUAUUUAUCCAUCCCCAGUGUACAUAUAACCAAAUUUACAUCUGACCUAAUUAUUCAUAGGAUCAUAUGAUAGAGAAAUUGGGGGGUAGGGAGGGUUGUAGUCCCCUGUCUGUUUUUCCAAUAACUUCUGCCUGUUUGUUGCCAUGUAUUCCUACUUGUCUAGUUUUAAAUGUAUCUUUCAUGUGGUCAGUAGAUACACCAAUUUAAUGACUUUCAUAGUUUGGAUAAGUUAUAUUUCCUGAUAAGAAACUUGACUUUUCCUUUCUCACUUUUCUCUUUACCUGCUUUUGCAUUUUCCAAAAUAAGGUUUCUGCUAUUGCACUUAAACUCUUCCAACUUUUUUAUAGGUGGCUUUAUGUCCUGCUCUCCUUGUAAUCUCUUAGCCAACAUAUUAAUAUUUCAUUGUUUUACUGCUUCCUUACAUGUCAAUCCUUUCAUCCCAGAUCCUUGCUGAAGUAUUUUAAGAUGUCCCUGUAACUCAUAUAUUAUUUCUGAUCUAUGAAAAGAUUCUGUACUGCAGAUAUGAGCCAGCCCCUCAACUUGUGGGAUAGCAGCAUGAGAGUGAAAGACCAAUGUCAAUUUAAAAGCUCUGCAGAUAGGGCUGUCUGUUUUCAGUAUAUGAAAAUUAUGUAGUCUAUAUUAAUUUUAUGUCAAAAUUUCCCUCAGAUAAUUUGGAUUUUUCUGUCAAUAAGGGAGACACCAUUUGCCUUUAGUAUUGAAUGUUACAUAUAUUACAGGGCCAGCAGAGACUGCUCUGAUUCUUGUCAAAAUCCCCUCAUUUAGCAUAUCCAGGGAUCACACUUGUUGACCACAGUGUUGAACUGGAAAGCCACAUUCACUUUAUUAGCCAUCAGGAGCUCAAACCUUUUUCAGCUGCUACUUCCAGAGUAGACUCCCCAUCCUCUCUCUAUGGCCUCUGCCUAAUUUUAUUCCUAGAUGGAUUAGCCUACAGCUGGCUUUCUUUAAUUAAACAUUGUGUUUUGCAUGUUCCUUGCCAAGUGAUCCAAAUUCAGUGGCAAGCUUUUCUUGUCAUUAUCUUGUGUUAGCCCAAAUUUUAUUUCAGUACUGUAUUUUACUGCUAUGUUUCUUUACAUUUCUUUGCCAGUAUUGUUAAUAGUUUGUGAAAAACCUCACUUCCACUUAGGCUGACGCUUUAUUACACGCUUCCUACUUUGGCUGUUCCUUGGUAAGUGUAGUAUAAAUUUGGCAUCAGCUUUGGUGCCAGCAAUGUAGUAGUGUGACCCCUGAGGCUGGCAGCACCAGUGCCUCCCUUUUCUUCGUAAUUUGAUGUUGAGAAUCGCCAGCCCCAUGUAAUGUCGAUGCCUCCUCCCACCACUGCUCUACUCUGCUGUCCCAGCCCAGCACCCACUGACAUUUGUCUGGCUAUCUGUUGGUCCUCGUUUGAGCAUUUUUGUUCAUUUGUUUUUUGUUUGCUUGUUUUUGUGUGUGUGUGGUUUUUUUGUUUGUUGGUUUGGUUUUUUAAGUGACUUGUUUUAGUAGCUGUUUAACCUCCUCGGAUUAUGAUUUUUUUUUUUUUUUUUUGUGAAAUGGAAAAUAUUUGCUUGUGAUAGAAGAGAAAUUUGUGUCUGGCAUUUUCUCACCUAUAAGAUGAAGUUGUACUGCAUAUUUCUGGGUUUUCAAUGCUACUAACAAUAACUGAAUUUUUGUAUGGGUCUGGAAUGCCUCUGUUACUGGGAUUGCUUUCACACAUAGCACUGUCAGAAAUCUUGUUACUGUCUUGAACUCUCCAUGCCACUGAUUUAUUUUAUGUUGUUUUGUCAUGCUAGGAGAUUUCUAUAAAUCUGGCUUGUAAGUUAGUUUCCUGUCAACUUCCUUCUUAUUUACAGUAGAAUUUGUGCACUUCAUUUUGAACAUUAAGAAGGAAGAAAUUAUUUUAGGUAAAAUAAUUUAAAGCUGUCUUUCCUAACCAUCUAACUGAAAGUUUCCUUCUCUAUCGGCUUACUCUGCCCAUGAGAACAAUUCUGACAAGAUAUAUUUGGGUAGAGUAAGCUUUAUUGGUCUCUGGCACCUUGUCUUCCCCUCCUAUCCUCUUUUCUUCUUCCUCCUCCCUCCUUUCUUUGCAGUUCUCCGCUUUUCCUAGUACACUUGAACCUCAGAGAACAAACAGACCACUAAGUGGGAUCACUCCUGGUUUUGUGCUUUUUUUCUCCCCUCCUUGUUUAAGGUUCAUUAUUUCGCCUAGCUCGUUGUCACCAUGAGGGUCAGUGAGGAGACAGGCGCAGCGGGAAGCAGGAGUUGUGCCGCGGGGAUUAUGCUGCAGGGGACGCUGCAUGCUGAUUUCCGAUAUCAUUAGUCAGGUGAAAUGCACAGAGCUUUGUAGUCUGAAGAAAUCCGUUUUGAAAGGGAGUCUGGUUGGUUAUGGCUGAGUUAGGAAGGUGAGGAUUUCCCCCUUCCCCCACAGGCAGAGAUUUCAACAGUUAAAGGACAAGGGGAAACAUUUGUAAGCAACACUAAGGUGCAGCAGUGGGGGAGGUAGGCGGGCUCAGCAGCGUGGCUUUGGUUUGUGUGCUAUAGGGCUCUUCUAGCCAGAGGGAAAUGCAGGCUGCGAGUGGACUUGGGCAGAGUUUUUAGGUUGGACGACUUGGCUUUUGGAGGGCAGUGGCAUCGCCCCUAAGCCCCGCUGUGCCCAGAAACCUGCUGGGCAAAUGCCGGAGAAGAGGUGCAUCAGUCCUGCUCCACGUGGGAAGUCCCCAGUAUACAGUUUAGAUUGCUUGGUUGGUUGGUUUUCAAAGGUGAAGAGAAUGAGAAAGAAAAAAGCAAACGGUGGUGCCAUGAUAACAUGAGGGUCAUGAAACCCAGACUGUGGCAGUAGUGACUGCCCCCCAUGUGGAUUAGGAUUUGAUUUAGAGGGUCUUCAUAUGGUUAGGCAAUACUGUCUAGUGGCACUUUGCAGGGCUGAAGUAAUUACAAGGAGAAAUCAAAACACUGGGAAGCCCUGUUGGGAAAUAGGACCUCAAGAGGCCCUGUAGGAGGUGCAGACAUGCCUUGGUCCUGGUCGUCUUUCUGGUACGGUGGUCUUGGAGGGCCUGUAUGUAAGGAGAACCCAUGCUGGGCUCAGGAUAUGCUGUGACUUACCCGGGAAGUGCCCCUGGUGUUUUUACUCCCAGUGCCACUGAACAACAGCAUAGGCUGUCCUGGGAGCCAUCCAUCAAAAAGGUUUGUUGUUAAACACAGGUUAAUUGCGUCUUUAUUUGAAGGACUGGAACAGGCAGUUCCACGAGUCAGGAACAGCUCGACAAGAUGGAUUAGUAGUGUCCUAUUGUUAUUUGUUUUGGCAUCUGUGGAAGUAAAAAAUAAAAGUUCUUGAAUGUGUCCCAGUUUAAUUUUAGGUCAGGAAAAGCUCUAUAUUCUUCCAACCUGGCUAUUUUAAUUGUAUUAUGAAAAUAUUCCUAUACGUUUGGCCAUGUUAUGACCAGACCAACUCCACUGUAAAAUAUGUCAUCCAUUUAAUGAUUUUUUAAAGGGAGAAAUAUGGAAAUGAACAGCUCUGCUUUCUUUAGCUCUCUAAAGUACAAAACCAUUUUCAUUUUAAAUUUGUAAAAAGAAUUCUUCCUCUCACGUGAAACCCUCUCUGCCAAACCAGGCACCUCAGCACAGUUAAAGACAUAAACCUUUCCAAAUGCUUUUAGGUAGCUUGAAAUGAGGUCAUGUGGGUGCUGUGCCUGUUAUUAUAAAAUAUUGUAGGAAGAAAACUGAUGGGAAAGCAAAAAUCUUCUUCUGUUUUGAGAGAAAAUGCCUUUACGCAUACAUUGACAGGAGCAGAAGGGGCUAAUGAGAAAACACAAAUAAUUAAUAGUUUUUAAUAAAUAUUUGCAACAUGUAUUUUAGCAAGAUUGGACAAAUAUAAACCAGUUCCUUUGCCACCUGCAAAGAAAUUGUCUGGUUUUAUUUUUAAUACCUAUGGGUAGGUAGUACAGGAAAUUUUAACUACUUAUGUCAAUCCUAUUACAUGGAAAUAUUUUCAUUGCUGUAUUCCUUUGGAAACUCUGCAAUUGUGCUGGAAAAAAAAAUACUGGGUAGACUGAGGUAGUGCUCGUAUGAUUAUUUCUAACAAGCCUAAAACUUUUUGGAUCUCUGUUCCUAAAGAGAUUGCUGGACUUGUAGGGUUCUGUUUGGUGGGGGCUGUGUGUGUGCGUGUGUGGCGGGGUGUGUGUGUUUUGUUUUGUUUGUUUCUUUAUUAGUAGGGGACUGGGAGGUGUAUUGGGUGUAAAGCAUCAACAGAGAUAGCUCUUCAGCAAACUUUUCCAUUAGAUUGACAAAAAACAAAAAAAAAUUACCAUUUUGUAGUGGUAUGAUUUUUAAAAUAUUUAGUUCUGGUCAGUGAUUAAUGUGGAACAGUUGUUCCUUUCUUAUAUUUGUCUUUUAAAGUUCUUGUGAGUAAGAAAGUGACAGUAAAUCACAGCAUUCGGGGAGUACAAAGGGAAGCUGUUUGUCAGAUUUAUAUACCUACUCCCAGACUUCCCUGUGCAAAAAGGAUCUUGGCUCUCAGUGAUACCUGCAGAAGAUUUCCUAAAGUAAAGCAGAUAUCAGUGCACUAGCAAGUGAAAAAUCUCAGCUGGGACCAGGUCCAGCAAUACAGAGUGAAAAACUGCCGAAUCUGCUUCCUCCAGAGCAAACAGCUGGGUAACACAUUACUCAGUGAGAGAGGUGAAAUGCAUGCAUACAGCUAUGAGCAUGAAACUGUGUCUGCAAAACCAGUGGAGACAUGUGUAUUGUUGGUUCAGCAGAGCUUGGAUCUGUUCUUCAAUGGCUGUUGGUGUCAGCUGAUGGUGUGUGCACAGGGAACACAACUGUGCCUGUAGAACUGGUUGCAUGGUUUGUUUCAAGUGCAAAUCACAAGUGGCUCCAAAGCAAAGAGAAGGGCAAUGGUAAAGCAAAUGAUGCAUCAAGAUAUACAAAUAUCAAGACUGUUCUAAGUGUUCCCAAGUCUUGAUGACUGCAUUUGUGCUUAUUUGACAUUGAUGUAAAGGACAAUGUACAGUCAGACCAGGAGAGGGUACAGACUUGGACAAUUUCAUUGGGCAAGGCGAUUCAUUUUGAAAAGUCAGAAGUAAUUUGUCAUAUGUCGUCCUGAAGGUGUCAUGUUUGAAAAAUUAAUCAAUACACAGUGGUCUCCAAAUGUUCUAGAUAGCACUUUGAAAGGAGAAUAAGCAUGCACAUUUGGUAUGGAAAAUAGAAAAUAUAAUUACUUGUAUAAUAAACAUAUAAACCAUGUAAACCAUAAACAAUGUUAUGGGUGGCAUCAGUUUUGCAAAAAUAUUAUGCCUGGGAUUUUGCAGUUUGUUUUAGUUCAUAAGGCAGCUGCUCAGCUAGUGGAGAUCAAAGGUAUUCCACUGUGAUCAGUAGAAGGAUCGCAGAUUUUGCCAGCUCAUGUUGUCAGCUUGAACACCUGCUGAGGAGGUAGUUGGGCCAUUCACUAUUUGAAACAGACAUGAGUAAAUACAUUUUCCAAAAGCAGCUUUUAUUUGCACAAGUGAGAGAUGAGUGUUUUGAGUUCUUCUUACCAAUUACAGGCCAAAAGAAUAAAAAAUCCUGAGUCACUGGUUCUGAUUUUGACCUUUCCAUUCAUAAGAGAAAGACUGAGCUCUCUGUGGAUACACUAACACAUGUAGACCAAUUACUUGCUCUCAUUUUAGCACUACGGGCUAUCAAAACAUAAAAUAACACAACACACUCUGGCUUCAAGGCAUGUAAAAUAAAACAUGUGCCCAGUACUGUAUACACAAAGUGUAGAAAAUGUUUCAGGAGAAAAGCAGCACUUUAUUAUAGUGUUUGACAUUGGUAAAUAAACAUUGGGGUUACUUUGACCAAGAAAGACUGUGAUUUUUUUCAUUCACGUGUGACGAAUAUUAUUCUUUUAUGCCACUGUUUCACUAACACCACACCGCAUGUGAUAUUCCAGGAUAAUCAGCCAACAAGGCAUAUUUUAAGUGAGAUGAAAGAAAGGCAGCAUGACAGUGUAAAUAACAGGGCUCGUAAGUGAGCUGUGUGCUUUACAUGCAAUGGCUAUUUCUAGGGUCCAAGGUCAGCAGCUCUUGCUGUGAGCAGAGGGCUCUGUAUGCUGGAGGACUUGUAGGAAAAACUGCUGUCUGUUAGCGUUGCUACCUGUGUCUGGGAGGAGGGCUGGGGCAGGUGGAUUGUGCAAAGCUGAAAGGAGACUUUUCUGCACUUCUGGAAAAUUCUCUGCCCCACCUCCAUGGCAUGGGGAAACGUAGAGGUUCAGAGUGAGGUCCCACAGGGAUUUGCCAAGAGCUAGGUAGGCCUGCAGUUGGGAUGCAUCCAUAGCCUUCAUCAGUGUCAAUGAGCUGGUACUUGUGGAUUGGAAGUAGCACGGAUAACCAGAGAUCUCAGCCACCAAGAAGCUGCAGAAAUAUGUGCCUGUGGUGCCACUUCACUCUAAUAUACACAAAACUGGUUUUGGAGUAUCUAGGCAAGCUACUCUCACCCCUGUAUCUACUGUUCUUGUGCAGAGAAUUAGCUGACUGUGGUUCAGCAGCAUUUUCAAGAAGCCUUAUUGUGGGGUGCUGCUCUAAUGCUAGGCCAGGGUCAUCUGCCUCUCCCAGGCACCCUGCUCACUUCUGCAAGGUCUGGGCAAUGAGGUGGUGAGGCUCCAGUGCCUGGGGAUUAAAGAUCUGGGACUUCAACUUCGAAUACCCAGCACUAUCGUUCAGAAGGCCUCUGUUCUUCCCCUUGAUUGAAACCAACCGGCUUGCUCUAGUCAGAGAAAAUGCUAUUGUAUUUUUUAAUGAGAAAACAAAACAAAACAAAAAUCUUUGCUAACGGAACAGGUUUGCUUGUGUUUCUGCUAACGCUAGGAACACUGCUACAUGGAAAGCAAUCAGCCCUGGAGUUUUAAUAAUAUGUGUAGCUGCAGUUUUGAUUUGCAUGUGGAUGGGAUUGUAAUAGUGUCUGCUGAAACUAUGAGUGCCAAAACAAACACCAGGAGGGAUUUCUUUUCUGUGUACCAGAGUCUCACUUUAGCAUCUGCCAGUGAACACAUUUUACUUUUCCUGCCUUCUCUGCUCCCUGUGCCGGACAAAUAAAGAACGCGCUGCAGAUAGGUAGCUAUCGGUCAGCAUCUUGGUACUGGGCAACUGCCUGGCAAGCUGUGGGCUGCAAUCAUUUAUGCAGUUUUCUCUGUAUGUUUAGGAAGGGCUCUACUCUUUCAUUUUAGCGCUUUUGUAAGAGCUCAAGGCUGGGACCUGCAUUUUUCUGUGGUAAGCUCACAAAGUUGGAUUCCCGUUGGACUUGCAAACUUUGGCCACAUUCAUAUUUUACAUGAGCCACUCUGUGCAGCUGAUUCUUCUGGUGUUUAUUUUUCUUGAUUUGAAAUAAUUCUUAUUUCCCUCUGAGGAAACCUUGCCUGUUAAUGACUGCUAGCUGUAACACGCUGGCAGCUAUCCUCAGGUCUUCUCCCAUGGCUCUGUCUCACCUCAUCCAUCACCUCCAGACAUGAGGUCAGAAGUUGCCAUGAAGCGGGGGGAAAAUCAGGCUUUUGAGGAAUUGAAUUGUUUUUCUUAAAAACUUUGUCCUGAGGUUAGCUAUUGAGGCCUCCUUGGCUUAAAUUGUCUUCUCUCCUGUAGGAAAGGAGACCUAAAAUUUCUCAGUGGUGAGGUCAUAGCUUUGGGUGUACUGAUACCAAAAGCACAAGCCACCAUACUGACUGAUGAUCAUUAGGAGUUGCUCUGUGCAGUUGUGCCACUGUACCUAUCCUUGUGUCUUUGAAGUGGGGGGGUGUGUGUAAUUAUAAAUGCCUGUGAAAGAGAGAUGAGAAAACUGUAUUCAGACCUGUCCCUUGCAGCUGUGUGCAUUUGCCCCUUCAAAGCUGCACCCAGACUCUGGAUCCCAGCCCAGGAGGAACUGACGCAGAAUUAUUUUUUCCCUUCACCAAGGCAGGGAGUGGCAGCGAGCUAACAGUAGGUUUAAGAGCUGCAGGUGGAUGAGGCAGACUUUUCCCAUAAUUUGAUGCAGUCUCAGGCUGUAUUGGAGGUUCAUAUAUGGUUAGAAAUAGCAGUGGGUAACACCUAGGAUGUCAUGAAAAAGCUCAGAGUGUGAAAUUUGCAUUUCAGUGUUGUGGAGCAAAGCAUUCUGAUUACUUUUGACUAAGUCUGACCUAUUUUCCUGGUUUGCCUAGGCUAGCUGGCUUUCUCAACUUCUGUGUUAUCAUCAGCCGCAGGAAGUGUAAAAUACCAUGAGCAUGCAUCAUAUGUAGCCAUUUCAUUUAUCAGUCAUUCCCAGAAAAUGUUGUCCAUGCAGUAUAGCGUAAGGCUUGUUCUCUAAUUUCCCCUAGAUCCUUUACCUUAUCAGGAAUAUGAAAUUCCCUGAAUUACUUUUCAGUCAUAAAUAACAUAAAAUUUCAAAGUGCUUUACUGAGUUGCAAACUCAAGAUACUCUUCUCAUUUCACAUUUGCACCUGAAGCUUACUUUUGAGCCCACCAGCCCUAUAUUUCAAAAAUCUAAUAAUAACUUCAGGAAAAGCUCUUGGUCUUUCCAGGAGAUGAAGCUCGGAGAGAGCAGUUUGCAUCCAUGCAAAACACCAGAUUAUUGAGGAUUCCAACCAACAACCUUUGCCUGAGUAAUUAUUGCUUUUAAGGUGAUGAAUGGUUACUUCUCUUAACCUGGACUUGCCAAUGGUGACCUUGGUGACUUUUCUGUAUUAUUUGAAAUUAUACACAUGAGCCUUCUUGAAACAUAAGGGACUCCUGUGUCCUUUCCAGUUCUUCAGUAAGAAUUCAGAUUUAUCAUCCACUGCCUUAAUGGAACAAGACACUUCUGAUGGCUGAUGGGAUAAGAGAAAUCCUGCCAUGGUCUGAUAUUACUUAAUCUGACUGUGGAGAGGAAUCCUCUUUUCUUUUCCCAUGUGGUGUAGUAAUUAUUUUUCCUUCUCCAUUUUUUUUUUUGUCAUGCAGCUAGAUGAAGUGUUUCUUUAUCACUGCUAAGCUGCUGGUUUCCAACAUAGGUACUUAUUUAUAUUUAGUAUUAUCUGUUUUCACCUAAAUGUUGGACGGCAACCAAAAUCAUACUAAAGUUGACAUCUAAAUAUCAGCUGAACAUCAGACCUCCUACCUUCUGUAGUCUGCUUACAUCAAGAGAUGCUUUCUUUUUGUCAUAAGUAAUUCUGUUCUCUCUGAUGGGUUGGUGUUUGAUUUAUGAAAAUCCACAUAGUUCAAAAGUGUUACAAAGGAAACAUCAUGUCAAUAGCUACGUGCAACGCAACAAACACAUGGAAGUUAAGCAUGUGUUAACAGAUGAUGUCUACGAGUAUUGAACACUCGGCAGAUGGUGACCAGCUUCUGGUUCUCCUGAAGUUUCUGUUCUCUAAAAUUGGAAUUUGACAUAAAUAACCUUUUAAUUUUUCAGAGGAAGUGAAGGUUUUCUCAAGCUGAAAUGCAGGUAACAGGGAACAGGGACUGAUAAUAUUUAUACAAGCUGUCAAGUUGAAGGAAGUUUUAAUCUGUAAUUUUUUUUUUUUUUUUAAUGAGCAGAGCAAUUUUUGUAUUCUUUUGAGCUGACGGAGUGGCCUGGAGAAGGUGAAGAAAAUUAUUAGCUAUUCCUUAUAUAACGAAUUGCAGAAACAUCUUUAAAAGGAAGAAAUUCCCUUAGGAUAUGAAGUAGAAAUUACAAGGCAUUAUUUUUUUGACCCAAAUUACCUCUUUAUUUAUUUCUUUAAUAUGUGUCCUUCUUAAACGAGAAGUUUGAAGAAACUCUGUUAUUGGAAAUCUCAUGACUGUAUGAGGACUGUGCUGGAGUAUUGCCAUGAUACUUUGACACAUUAUCAUCCCAGUAAAUGAUCCAAGUGUCGAAAUUCGUGUGGAGUGAUGGCUUUUGCGAAAUUUUGCCAUGUAUUUCAGCCCUCCUGGUAAGCACAGCUUUAUCUGAUGGUAUGUCGCUGGGAGAAGAAUGGAAGGAAGGAGACAAGGGAAAAGAGAAUGUGGGCUUUCUAUGAGCUAUGGUAUUUGAACUAAAGCUGUUGUCAAAUAAAAGCUUGCCUGUAAGUUUACAAACAUACAAUUAAGAUGCUUGCUGUUGUCUAAAUCCAUUUUCUUGCCUUAUAAUUUUAUGGUAAAAAGCAUCACUGUUGUUUUUGGACUUUCAUAAUAACUCUAGCAGCCACAGAGAGAACAGAAUGUUGUUUGUUUAUUUAUUUGUGAAACAAGUUAUGCCCCUCUCCAGACUUCACUGUGUAAUUUGCACUGGCUUUGCAGUUUACAAGAAUGCACUCACUGGCUUAAGUACUCCCCUCUCCCUGGAAUUAGAAGAUAAAGUAGCAGAAUUGUCGUGUAAGUGGCUGUGACUUCAGUGCAACAGUUGUAGCUCAAUGUAUUUCCCAAAGUCAGAAAUAAUUUGUCACAACAGAGUUCUCCUUUUGAAUCUGCAGUCUGUGCCUGUAGUGAAUAAAACUUGGCUGUCAGAAUUGAAAGGAGUAGAGUUACGGUAACACACUCUGAGUACUGUCGAGUGUGAUUCAAUGAAAUUAUGGAUUUCUCCCCAUUUAUCACUUGUGGUUCAUUUUGUUUAACAAAUACAGUAGUCAGCUUUUGGUUACACUGGUUGCCUACCCAGAGCAGAUGGCCUUUGAAAUGUACUCCUUGACAAUUUCAUUUGGUUUCUAUGUGUUUACGUGCUGGUUUUAUAUGUAUUUUCCUGGUUGCACAGUACAGAUAGCAUUCCGCAACACAGCCACAGUUGCGAUUGGACAUCUUCAUCAUAUCUGCUUACAUUUGCAUUUGCCUCAGCCUCACCCAUCUGAAAAAUGCACUCUGUGCCUGCAAAUGAUGGUGUUUGGAAAUCUGGCUAGGGCUGACUACAGGGCUGGGCAAAACUUGAAGCUGACCCUGAAAACUUGCUGAGUUAUGAGUUCGUAUCAGAUGAAAACAGCCCAGCUUUGCCCUAGUUAAUUGUUAUGUGUGCUGGUGGUGAGAUUUUAGAAGAUACAUGCAUCUACUUUGUGUUGACCAUAUCAGUAUCAUCUCAAUUGAGCAUGAGGGGGGAAGUCUCAUCGAGAAUGAAAUGGUGUCCAUUAAGACCAACAAAAUGAAUAUUCUACACCACAGGAAAUCUACCUCACGGUAGGUAGAUUUCUGCCUCAUUGCAUGGAAGGGUGCAAUGGAGUGAUGGUGUCCCCUUCCAGCUUGGUACAAGACUAGCUCUGGUCCAUAGGGGGUUCCCAGCUAACCUGGGGAGUAAGGCUGCUUAGGAGAAAAGACCCUAUCUACCCCUCACACCCCUGCCACCCUGGCAAACUCAUCUGGGCAGGUGCCCAGAUAGAUUACAGAGACAAACCUGGCCUGAGGAGCGAACUGAACCUACAGAGCCUCAAAUACAUCUACUGACUUUGCUUUCUCCCUUCCUUAUUCUUUACCGCUAGGGUGAAUACAGACGCCUCCAGGACCCCAACACCUGGACCACCACAUGGGUUCCUGUGCUUUGGAAAAACCUGUACACGGAGCCAAAACCACUGAGAAAAGUCUUCUCCCCUGGGGAUUUGUCUUGCUGUGAAGGACUGUGUAGGAUGGAUAGUAUCAUUUUUAUGAAAGAGUAUUAAACAAGUGAAAAGUAAAGGCACUAAUGCUUGUUUAUAUUUGUGUAGGAAAGCGAGAAAGCCUUUGUGUUUGCAUCCCUUAUUUGAAGUAUUGCCAUGUCCUGGAUUCAGCUGAUGCUCAGCAGUGCCUAUCUGUUUACGUCAAACAAUAAUGCCAGAUGAGAAUCUAGCCCAGCUCUCAAACCUUUUGCAUGUCUCCACCACCAGUGCAUAAAAUAACUGUUCUGUAAAUGCUGACACAGGCACAUGGCGUAGUGGGUGUAUGGGCACUCUGUUUUUCAGCAUGCACUGUUGCUUACUGCUGACAACUGCAUCACAUGAGGGCUAAAAGAGUGAGGCAAAGAGGUUUCUCAGACACCAAAUAGGACUUUCUGGUGUUUUGCCUUUUGCCCUUGUUUAGUUUACACUUGCUGUCAAUGAAAGUGCUGACAUUGCUCCAGGAGGGCUUGUUUCCAGUUGUGCCUGUGCUGAUGGAUGAGACUGAAGCAGGUCAGCUCAGCUUUAUCAUGUCCUUCAACAGUGUGUGUAAUGAGGCAGGGAGGAAUACACCAGGAAUUCAAGGAGCAGAGGUUUUUAUCUCUGCUCUUUGAUGCUUGGUUGGCAAUAUCACUGGAAAAUAAAAAGGCAUAUAAACAGGAAGCACUUUUAAGGUGGUUAUACCACACCUUAAUGCGUGUGCAGAUGCUUGUGCUACAAAUCUGCAAGAGGCACUUAUGGCAUUAAAAACAAAACUCACAGGAGCAAAGGUAGAGGGGACCAUUUGUAACAUGUUUAAUUCUAUGAAAGCAAAUGAUAGGCAGGCAAACUAUUGCUGACAGGAUUAAAGACAUGCUGGUAGCAGUGUCUAAGUUGUUUUGAAAUGCCUGGGGAAUCAGGCAUAUAAAAUGAAAUGUGUCAUCCCAGGUCAUCUUCUCUUUAGGACUGCUUCUCCCUUUCAGAUAUAUUAUGCUUGGGACAGCCAGCCAGUCCUGCUGCGGCUUUUCUGUUUUUUCUUCUGGGUGUUGUUGAUGUUGACCUUUGUCACUUUUUUGUAUAGUUAAUUGUCCAUCCUUCCUUUGUGAAUUUACAGGGGAAAACUCUGCUUUGUGGUUUGUGACAUAAAAUAAAAAUUGUGCAAGA